AUAAACGCUGGCGGCGUGCUUAACAUAUGCCAGUCGAACGAAGUUUUUCUUUCGGGAGGAACUUAGUGGCGGACGGGUGAGUAACGCGUGGGUAACCUGCCCUGUACAGGGGGACAACAGCUGGAAACGGCUGCUAAUACCGCAUAAGCCCUUAGCACUGCAUGGUGCAUAGGGAAAAGGAGCAAUCCGGUACAGGAUGGACCCGCGUCUGAUUAGCCAGUUGGCAGGGUAACGGCCUACCAAAGCGACGAUCAGUAGCCGAUCUGAGAGGAUGUACGGCCACAUUGGGACUGAGACACGGCCCAGACUCCUACGGGAGGCAGCAGUGGGGAAUAUUGCACAAUGGAGGAAACUCUGAUGCAGCGACGCCGCGUGAGUGAAGAAGUAUUUCGGUAUGUAAAGCUCUAUCAGCAGGAAAGAAAAUGACGGUACCUGACUAAGAAGCACCGGCUAAAUACGU
rnacentral:rRNA from 1 species